rnacentral:lncRNA from 1 species
CUUACGUGACCCACGCAGUCUCUGGCUUCCACCACCUUCUCUCUCCCUGACCCACACCUCCAGCCCCAGCCUUUCCCCAGAGCAAGGGACUCCUCUGUUACCUUUGCCUGGGCCAGACCUGCAAGGCUCACUCCCUCACCUCAAAAUAUCACUGGAUCAGAGAACCCCAAAAAGUGCUCCUCACAGUACUCCCCAUCUCUUCCCCCAGCUUAAUGUCCUUCAGCUCAUGCAUCCCCAGCUGGUGGCCUCCCCACAAGCAGGCAGCUCCCUGAGAAGG